UACAGAGGGGGCAAGCGUUGUUCGGAAUUACUGGGCGUAAAGGGCUCGUAGGCGGCCAACUAAGUCGGAUGUGAAAUCCCCAGGCUUAACCUGGGAACUGCAUCCGAUACUGGAUGGCUUGAAUUCGGGAGAGGGAUGCAGAAUUCCAGGUGUAGCGGUGAAAUGCGUAGAUAUCUGGAGGAAUACCGGUGGCGAAGGCGGCAUCCUGGACCGAGAUUGACACUGAUGAGCGAAAGCUAGGGGAGCAAACGGG
rnacentral:rRNA from 1 species